rnacentral:rRNA from 1 species
UACGUAGGUGGCAAGCGUUGUCCGGAUUUACUGGGCGUAAAGAGCGCGCAGGCGGUCGUUCAAGUCGCGUGUGAAAGCCCCCGGCUCAACUGGGGAGGGUCACGCGAUACUGAUCGACUGGAAGGCAGGAGAGGGUAGUGGAAUUCCCGGUGUAGUGGUGAAAUGCGUAGAUAUCGGGAGGAACACCAGUGGCGAAGGCGGACACG